UACGUAGGGUGCGAGCGUUGUUCGGAAUUACUGGGCGUAAAGGGCUCGUAGGUGGCCAACUAAGUCAGACGUGAAAUCCCUCGGCUUAACCGGGGAACUGCGUCUGAUACUGGAUGGCUCGAGUUUGGGAGAGGGAUGCGGAAUUCCAGGUGUAGCGGUGAAAUGCGUAGAUAUCUGGAGGAACACCGGUGGCGAAGGCGGCAUCCUGGACCAACACUGACACUGAGGAGCGAAAGCCAGGGGAGCAAACGGG
rnacentral:rRNA from 1 species